AUUGAUUGGUGCUUACAUCAUGAUUUACAUUUGAGUGAGUGGCGAACUGGUGAGUAACACGUGGGAAACCUGCCCAGAAGCGGGGGAUAACACCUGGAAACAGAUGCUAAUACCGCAUAACAACUUGGACCGCAUGGUCCGAGCUUGAAAGAUGGCUUCGGCUAUCACUUUUGGAUGGUCCCGCGGCGUAUUAGCUAGAUGGUGGGGUAACGGCUCACCAUGGCAAUGAUACGUAGCCGACCUGAGAGGGUAAUCGGCCACAUUGGGACUGAGACACGGCCCAAACUCCUACGGGAGGCAGCAGUAGGGAAUCUUCCACAAUGGACGAAAGUCUGAUGGAGCAACGCCGCGUGAGUGAAGAAGGGUUUCGGCUCGUAAAACUCUGUUGUUAAAGAAGAACAUAUCUGAGAGUAACUGUUCAGGUAUUGACGGUAUUUAACCAGAAAGCCACGGCUAACUACGUGCCAGCAGCCGCGGUAAUACGUAGGUGGCAAGCGUUGUCCGGAUUUAUUGGGCGUAAAGCGAGCGCAGGCGGUUUUUUAAGUCUGAUGUGAAAGCCUUCGGCUCAACCGAAGAAGUGCAUCGGAAACUGGGAAACUUGAGUGCAGAAGAGGACAGUGGAACUCCAUGUGUAGCGGUGAAAUGCGUAGAUAUAUGGAAGAACACCAGUGGCGAAGGCGGCUGUCUGGUCUGUAACUGACGCUGAGGCUCGAAAGUAUGGGUAGCAAACAGGAUUAGAUACCCUGGUAGUCCAUACCGUAAACGAUGAAUGCUAAGUGUUGGAGGGUUUCCGCCCUUCAGUGCUGCAGCUAACGCAUUAAGCAUUCCGCCUGGGGAGUACGGCCGCAAGGCUGAAACUCAAAGGAAUUGACGGGGGCCCGCACAAGCGGUGGAGCAUGUGGUUUAAUUCGAAGCUACGCGAAGAACCUUACCAGGUCUUGACAUACUAUGCAAAUCUAAGAGAUUAGACGUUCCCUUCGGGGACAUGGAUACAGGUGGUGCAUGGUUGUCGUCAGCUCGUGUCGUGAGAUGUUGGGUUAAGUCCCGCAACGAGCGCAACCCUUAUUAUCAGUUGCCAGCAUUAAGUUGGGCACUCUGGUGAGACUGCCGGUGACAAACCGGAGGAAGGUGGGGAUGACGUCAAAUCAUCAUGCCCCUUAUGACCUGGGCUACACACGUGCUACAAUGGAUGGUACAACGAGUUGCGAACUCGCGAGAGUAAGCUAAUCUCUUAAAGCCAUUCUCAGUUCGGAUUGUAGGCUGCAACUCGCCUACAUGAAGUCGGAAUCGCUAGUAAUCGCGGAUCAGCAUGCCGCGGUGAAUACGUUCCCGGGCCUUGUACAC
rnacentral:rRNA from 2 species